AACGCGAAGAACCUUACCUGGGCUUGACAUGGAGAGGACGACAUCAGAAAUGGUGUUUCCCCGCAAGGGGCCUUUUCACAGGUGCUGCAUGGCUGUCGUCAGCUCGUGCCGUGAGGUGUUGGGUUAAGUCCCGCAACGAGCGCAACCCUUGUCGUUAGUUGCCAGCGCGUAAUGGCGGGCACUCUAGCGAGACUGCCUCGGUUAACGAGGAGGAAGGUGAGGAUGACGUCAAGUCCGCAUGGCCCUUAUGCCCAGGGCUACACACGUGCUACAAUGGUCGGUACAGAAGGAAGCCAAGUCGCGAGAUGGAGCAAAUCCUAUAAAGCCGGCCCCAGUUCAGAUUGUAGUCUGCAACUCGACUACAUGAAGAUGGAAUUGCUAGUAAUGGCGAGUCAGCAACAUCGCCGUGAAUACGUUCCCGGGCCUUGUA
rnacentral:rRNA from 1 species